UACGAAGGGGGCUAGCGUUGUUCGGAAUCACUGGGCGUAAAGCGCACGUAGGCGGACCGGAAAGUUGGGGGUGAAAUCCCGGGGCUCAACCCCGGAAUUGCCUUCAAAACUCCCGGUCUGGAGUUCGGGAGAGGUGAGUGGAAGUUCGAGUGUAGAGGUGAAAUUCGUAGAUAUUCGGAGGAACACCAGUGGCGAAGGCGGCUCACUGGCCCGAUACUGACGCUGAGGUGCGAAAGCGUGGGGAGCAAACAGG
rnacentral:rRNA from 1 species